UCCCUGGAGUCUAUAAGUAGGGAUGUG
rnacentral:piRNA from 1 species